UUAAACAUAAGAGCAUGAACUUGUUUUAAAGCAUUCCAUAACAUUAAAUGCAACUAUAAAUUGAUUUUAGUAUACUGUGUUGUACUUCAAUAAAUGAAAAAUGUAAAUGUUGACAAAUUGCUGUUGUGAAAGAGAAAUAAAACACUUCUGGAUUUGUUGUUAUAGGAAAAUAAUUAACAUGUGUUGGAACAGCAAUUCCAUUUCAUCAGUGAGUAUUUUAUUUGGUUUGUUUUGGUGUGUUUUAGUGUGUAUCAGUAUGGAUUAGUGUAUAAUACUGUGUGCUGGUGUGUAUCUUUGUGUGUUGGUGUGUAUAGGUAUGUGUUGUUGUGUGUUGGUGUCUAUAGAUGUUUGUUGUUGGGUGCUGGUGUGUAUAGGUGUGUGUCAGUGUGUAUAGGUGUGUGUUGUGGUGUAAUAUUGUGUGUUAGUGUGUAUGGAUGUGUGUUGAUGUGUGUUGGUGUGUAUAGGUGUGUAUUGGGGUGGAUUAGCAGCUGGUGGAUUUUCAGCUUUAACCUUUCUGGUGUAAUAGAGUGCAGUGUGAAUUGGC
ensembl:lncRNA